ensembl:lncRNA
GUAAUAGGAAGAGAGUGAUGCAGCUGAAGAGGUUGCAGGAGUAAAUGAGAUCUCAUCCUGUUUCCAGUAUAUACGUUACUCCUCUUCUACAUCCCUCAAACACUUAAGGAUUCGCAAGUGUCCUUCAUAAUUCCACACUCUUGUACACAGCUGAGGAAACAACUCUGAACUCCAAAGAUCCUAAUAGUCUGUGAGAGAUUUUCCCUGGCGUUACAUUUAGAGCCUGCUGUGCUUGUUCAUACAUCCCUAUGUGGAGAAGAUGCUGAGAAGAGAAGAGAAAAUAAAUAUAUCAAAAGUAAAUUUGAAGAAAGGAAUUGCGUCUUCAAGACAGAAAGAGCAAAUUGCUGUCAUGGAGAUUAUCAAACACCAUCUCAAGUGUGAAUUGUGAUUCAUAAAGAAGGAAAUGUAUGAGAGCAGCUCUGAAAAGAUUUUGUUAUGUUGGCCCAUGGCACCAGAGGCGGAUGAUGGUGGUUUGUCAGUAGGCUGAAUCUUCCCGCCCAUAUCCUCUAACAUUUUGUUGCUGUGUGACACAUGUCAGCAGAGGGGCAAAUUGACAGAAUGGUGUCUGACACGGAAUAUUGAGGAGACAUAAACCUGUUUUGGUGCAUCCAAAGGAGGGCCAUAAAAAUGAUCCAAAGGAUGGAAUAAGAUGGAACAACUCUCCAAUGAGGACAGGCUGAGAGAGCUGAGGCUGUUCAUCUUGGAGAAGAGAAGGCUUUGAGCUGUGGUAGUAUGCACAACACAGUGGUUUCUCCUCGGCAUCAGUUCAAAAGAAGCUCAAAAACAAAUGAAAGAAAAUACGAGUUCCAUGUCUGAAGUGAGGAGAUUAAGGGAUACUGGACAACUCAUCUCUGAAGAAACUUCAGAGAGCUUUAUUUUUGGCAGCUGGACGGUUGUUCCAAUAGUGCUGUGCAGCUUGCUGGAUGGAGGAGGAUAUUGACUGAUGUGACACCUGCUUGCUGUGAGUCUUACUCUGGUUCCUCUGCAACUUCUCUACAGUGUUACAAAAUAAAGUUGAUGGCACAGGACCUCAGUUUUGAAGUUAAUGUUUGGUGCCUGGGACAUCUCAAAAUUCAAGAGCUGAACUUUUUGGGAUGAAAAUCUUCGGAGAGAAUCAGGCAUUGAUCUAUUAUUUUCUUAGUCAGAGCUUCCACCAUGAGGCUGCCAAAGAAAUAAAUGUCACCUUCUUCACUUUCUUCAGAUGCAGUUUUUGGAAGUGAUAACUGGAACUGCAGUCUGUGAUAUAUAAAAUAUAAGUGUACAUUGGAUUGAGCUCCCGAAAAGGAUUUUGGUAAUGGGAUGUCCUGUUUCUGGAUCCUGUUUAGGCAAUGGGAUUUAGGAUGCUCUACCUAUUAAGAUAGAUACUGUUGCAAUGCAUAUACAGAAAUGAAAUUUUAUGAUUUAGUUCUGAACAACAUUGAGGCACUGAGGUAUAAUCAGCUAGUAAUAGUUGAAAGCAUUGUUUUUCAGAGUAACAGAUUUGUAUUCAAAUAUAUGAAUUCUAACCCACUCCCACUUUGAGUGAUUUGCUAUCUGAGUGAGCAGCAGGAAAUCUUGCAGAUAUUUUUCACUGCAGCAUCCUGAAGAAGCUCAUACUAUUUUCUUUUUUUGUCGUCUUCUUGGUUUUACAGACAUAAUAUAUCCCUAUAUGUUUCUCCAGCAGAACUACAGAUGUCUCCCAUUACUUUUCUACAGCAACAUGGGUUAGAGCUUUCUCUAUAUGAAAAAAAAAAAAAAAAAUGCUAUAAGCCUCAUUUUCACAGUGGUUAUAAUGAUUGUCUUCAAUAGGGCAAUCCUUGCUGCAAGCAUUUCACGACAGUCUCAGUGAGCACAACGCAAAGUCUUUUAAUGCCUCAUCUUCAGGGUGUGGUAAGAUGAUGGGUAUUACAUGAUGCCUAGAAAGAAAUACCUAAUUUUGACCUUUUCAUUGUUUUCAUUAGGAAGGAAGCAAACAAAAAUAUUCUUUUUCUUUUUCCUUUUCCUUUUCCUUUUCCUUUUCCUUUUCCUUUUCCUUUUCCUUUUCCUUUUCCUUUUCCUUUUCCUUUUCCUUUUCCUUUUCCUUUUCCUUUUCCUUUUCCUUCUCCUUCUCCUUCUCCUUCUCCUUCUCCUUCUCCUUCUCCUUCUCCUUCUCCUUCUCCUUCUCCUUCUCCUUCUCUUUCUUUUUCCUUUUCCUUUUUCUCUUUAAAUAAUAACCUGGAAGUAUGGUUGUGCAAAAGCAGAAAUUUUGUUCAAAGAAAGAUUUCCUUUGAGCAAAAAGUACAUUUUAAAGAAAUAAAUUUGACCAUUUUUAGUAACUUACAUGAAAGAAAGAAGAGCUACUGUGAACAGGAAUUCUGAAUUUUUAUGAAUGCCAAUGGUGCUGCUAAAUUAAAAUUUUUCAACUUUUUCCCUUAGUUGGAUCAAAUGUGUUUAAAUUUAUAAAUUAGUAACCAGUUAUUUACAGACAACAAUUUGAAAAUAAAUCAGAGAAAACCAGUAGCAUUUGCCUCAGUACUACUAGAAAGACUGAAUGUAUACCUAGUCACAUUAAGAAAACAGUUACAAGGACCUACAAAACUCAUGCUGACAUUUAGACAGAAAGAACAUAAGCAUCUUUAGGCAAACAAAUUAGUAAGUCUAGCUAUGAAUAGUAAAGCCUCCCACACUAUCUCUGAAUCAGUUACCAACUUGCCUAGUAUAUAUCUGAUGGGCAGCCAAAUGGGAUGUUAUAGAAUGAGCAGCAAACCCUUGAAUAAAAAGUGGACACCCAAGGUGCCAUUUUGAUUAGUAUCUAUCUAUUAAGAUAGUUAGAGGUUUUUUCCUCUUUAAGCUGAUGUAACAUCAGAGAAAGAAGUCUUUGACUUGACCAGAAAUCCUUGACUUGGUUCUUAGAAACCUGAGGAGCACUAGAGUUUAGGCUGGAGAUAUGAAACUUUUUGUGGAAAACUACCACUAUUCUAUCAGAACUUAGCAAAAAAUUCAUUUUGUCAUGUUGAGUGGUGAAUUUUUUGUCCUAACACAUACAGGUUUUGGAAAGCUAUAAAGAAGAAACUUCACUCAACCCAGCUUGCUCCAUCAGUCUAGGAAAAAGCUAUUAGUGUGAAAAGAAAUUCCAAAAGUUUUAGGAGUUGAGAUUCACCUAAAAAUUUAUAUCUGCUAAGUAGAGUGAAAAUUUGAGGAGGAGUACAACUGAAAAGCAGGAACGCAAAUAAAUGUUAUUUCUGUAGAAGUUCAUGGGACUUUUGCUUGCAUGGAAGCCCAAAAGAGUCUGUAGAAUGUUGCCAGUACAUUCAGAAUAAAAUAGGAAUUUUAGAAAAGCAGAAGGAUUUGGCAAUGUCAUGUCCAGGAAUGAAGAAUAAUCAGAAUAAAUUAAGUAGGUCAUGGGAUGGACAGACUCAUAUAAUUACAAUGAAAUCAUAAUAUAAAUCAUUGGAGAACCAGCAGUGGUAAACACUGUUAGGUGGUUUUUUUUAUUGUUGUUUUUUGUGUAUGUGUGUUUGUUUUUGUGGUUUGUUUUUUUUUUCACUGAGGUAGCCAUAUUACAAGCAGGCAGCAUGAAUUACUUUAUUGAAUAUUCAAAGAUGUUUUGAAUACCCUGUAACUUCUUAUGAGAUUAUCAACCACCAUUUUCAGAUGUGCCUUAGGUCACUAAAAUGAUACACAGGACAUCAUUAUGCUUCCUAAAUGAUCUCAAUGCAGCAAUUUCAAUACAGUAGUUUGAUAACCAAUUAAGUGGCAUUCUAAACAUUUUAAGUUUUUCAUAUUUUCAAAAAAUCUCAGUAAGUGAAUAGUGCUAUGUAGUCAAUUUUUAACCCUCACGUGUAAUGACUGGUAAAGGAAGAUGAUUAAAAUCAACCUGGAAUGGUUUGGAUGUGCAAAAAUGUCAAAAUAUCAUGAGAUUAUGUACAGUCUUUAACUAAUGGACCAGUAAUUUGUAGUGAGAGUCAUGAGGCCUUCUGUUAUACAGACCUUUUGUUGAUUUGUCAGGGGAAAACUUUCUUCAGUACUUUUCUUGUAUGAUAUAAAUAAUCAUCACAGGUAGCAGUAAAUAAUUCUUGACUCUAGUUACCUAAAUGAACUUACUGAAACUUAGUGAAACAUCUGUAACAACACUUAGCAGCACUUGCAAAGAAAUCUUGUGCAGUAGUAGCAAAGGGAAACAGCAAUAUUUAGUCUGACAAGCUUUAACUCCAGUCACUGUCAGCCCAUUUUCAAAGGAAAAAAUUGCAGUCUGACUCAGGAUAAAUAUUAUAUGGACUGCUUUGUGGUAAAUCAUUCAUAAAGAAAGGUAGACUGUUCACCAAGAUUAUCUUUCUGAUUCAAAUGUAGCAAAAUGUUAGAUUUUACUUGGGCUCAUUUGUUUUCCUGAAAGACAUUUGAAUAAGCAAAAACCUGUAGAUCUCUCUCUUCUGGUUCCUUUGUUGAGGCAAUAGCUACCACACACAAAGGGACUGUAUAGGCAGGAUAAAGGCAGCUUUAAUACCCUGCACAGUUCCCAACAGCUGGAUGUAGUGUGCAGCUCUGCCAACAAGUCUGUGUAAGCCCAGCAGCACAAAUGAGGUGGUGACACACCAGCAACAACUGCUCUUUGGAAUGUACUCACCAUCAGUUUACUGGAAACAUCUUCCAGCUCCACUGGUCUCCCUUUAGUUUUUGGAUACCUUCCUAGAGCCUUUCUAUUUAACCCCUGAAUCCCUGAACUGCAGACAGUCUUACAUUGACUCACUUACUUUUGCUUGCAGUUUUACUUUUCUUAUCUCACUGGGUUUCCAUCCAUAUAUUUUCUUACAGUUUCCUCAGCAGGAAUGCAGCUUUCCCAGAUGUUUGUGUUGAGUUUACACAGUUAUGCCAGGUCAUUGCUUGGCUGUGGAUCAGGGAGCAUUGAUCAUUCAGAAGGGAGGUUGCCAAUCUGACAGGUGACAGCGUGGGAGGUAAGGAGAAGGAAGAACAGCCUCUUUUGCGCUUGCUGAUUUCAGUGCCUGAAAUGCUAUCUCAUCUCCACUAAUCCUCUAGCUUUCACAGCUGAACUUUCAGAUCUGCCAGCUCUUCCCAGAAAGAGACUGAGAACCGACAGGAGGAAAUCGAAUGCACUUUAAAUCUGAAAUCUGUCAUCAGAGUAGCAGUCUUCACAAACUCAACUUUUCAAAGAAGGAAAUGUAUAUUUGCACAUUUUUAUAAUACCUAGUAUAAUAGGCCUUUAAUUUUCACUGAGGCCUCUGAAGUGUUGUGUUAUAAAUAUUUCAUAAUCAUGUAGCUGUGUCUCCAUCUCUGUGUACAUCGUCUUCAAACAAGCAGGAAAUAUUGCUGUUUAUCAUGCCCAGCAGCCACUUAAUAUGUGUAACAGGAUGGGCUUUAGUACAGCAGGCUAUCUGAUCACCCCUGUGGAUAAUUUACUGCUGUUUUUCUUCAGUCAGCCAUUCUCUUAACUGAAAAGGGGUGCAGGGGAGACUUAUUCCACUGUAAGGAGUGGAUUUGUAUUAGCUACAUGAAGCCUUGUUUAAACUUGCAGAAGAGUAUUGACACUAUCAAGUCAGAUGCCUGGAUGUCAAGUAUAAGUCCCUUAUAUAAUGACUGAAGCGUCCAGAAUGUAAUUCAGUACAUUUUGAAAAAUGUCAAUGCUUUAGAUUUAAGUUGUACUGAGGAACAACCAUAUGCUACAUUUAAAUAAACUUAAAAUCAGUUUAUAAGCAUUGUAUAAGGGUUCUAUAAGAAUAAGAAUGAAGGCUUAAAUGUGCCUUGCAACAUUACUUCUCUGACAGAUUAUUGAGCUGUACAUAAGAAUGCUUGUUUAGAUACGUGUAUAUAGAGAGACAGAGAGUGCUAUCCUAAACCGUAGAAGGUGUAAUGUCAGUUUUUGAUAGUCCACAGGAAGAUUACACAUUAAAUAUUGUAGAGAGAGAGAGAGACACUGUUAUUUCACGAGCGAUUUGAAAUCAGAUAAUGUCUGUAAAACGCUGAACUAUAUAUGUAUGGAGAUAUUAUACAUAUGUAAUAUGCUUAUUGUAUAUGCAUGCAAACACUUAAAUGUAUCAAUACGUAGAUGCAUUUUAUAUAAAUUAUUUAUAUACUUAUAUAUAUACACUGUGAUAUGAUCACUGCUGCCUCAGGGCAGCUGCCUACAUUCUCUAGGAAAGCAAAUUAUCUCUAGUACAAUACAUCUAUUAGUUAAUUACAGUAUUUGCAUACUUGAUUAUAAAAUAUAUAAAGUAUUUCUAGAUUUGAGAAUUCAUAGACUUUGAGUAGCUUAGUUUAUAAGUGCUCCAUAUUACCUAUGUUAUGUUAGAAUGGCACACUGGAAUGGGAAGAGGACAAAUGAAAUUAAAACAUUAAAUUUAUUACAGUUAUAAAAAUAUGUACACUUUUUAUACAACAAAUAAUUAGACGGUGAAACACCUUGUCGAAAAAUUGUGGAUAAUUGCCUAGUAGGAUGAAAACAGCUGAAUAUAAGUGAGUAAUUAUUAUACCCUGCGGAAUUGCAUUAACUAAACAAACAAUUUAUAAUGGAUAUCAAUAGUCAUUCUAUAUAAUAUAAGCUUACCUGCUUAACAAACUAGAAGAAACAUUCCCUACAGACAAGCAUUUGCAUAAUCCUCAAUUAGGUAUUUGGAGAGGCAUAAAUUUUAAGGCCAAGAGAGAUUGUUAAGAUCAUGUCACCUGACCUUUGAAUAAGCAUGUGCAGCAGAAUGCUGUUAAGUCAUUCCUGACUCAGCCCUUGGUUACCAGCUUUAUUUUAGGAAGAAGAAUUUUAAACUGUUUUCUUUCUAGUUUCAGAUUCUAACUUCUUAUUGGAAAGCUGCUGGAGACCUUUUCUUGCUAUGCUGUUAUUUGGAGUGAAUAAAGAAUCUUUUCUACUUUCAGCUCAGUAUCAAGGCUGGUUCUGUGGCAGGAUGUGCAGACCGCUGGGCUGCUUUCUCUGCAGAAGUGCAAGGGGAGAUGGAGGCCAUCCGCAUAAAGGGGACUGCACACAAUACCCUUGGUGCCCACCAUGAGGUGAAGACUCAACCAGAC